GACGAACGCUGGCGGCGUGCUUAACACAUGCAAGUCGUACGGUAAGGCCCUUUCGGGGGUACACGAGUGGCGAACGGGUGAGUAACACGUGAGUAACCUGCCCACAACUUUGGGAUAACGCUAGGAAACUGGUGCUAAUACUGGAUAUGUGCCCCUGCUGCAUGGUGGGGGUUGGAAAGCUCCGGCGGUUGUGGAUGGACUCGCGGCCUAUCAGCUUGUUGGUGGGGUAGUGGCCUACCAAGGCGGCGACGGGUAGCCGGCCUGAGAGGGUGACCGGCCACAUUGGGACUGAGAUACGGCCCAGACUCCUACGGGAGGCAGCAGUGGGGAAUAUUGCACAAUGGGCGCAAGCCUGAUGCGGCAACGCCGCGUGCGGGAUGACGGCCUUCGGGUUGUAAACCGCUUUCAGCAGGGACGAAGCUUUUUGUGACGGUACCUGCAGAAGAAGCACCGGCUAACUACGUG
rnacentral:rRNA from 1 species